rnacentral:misc_RNA from 1 species
GUGAGUCAUCGAAUCUUUGAACGCACAUUGCGCCCAUUAGUAUUCUAGUGGGCAUGCCUGUUCGAGCGUCAUUUCAACCCCUAAGCACAGCUUAUUGUUGGGCCUCUACGUUUCGUAGUGCCUCAAAGACAUUGGCGGAGUGGCAGUAGUCCUCUGAGCGUAGUAAUUCUUUAUCUCGCUUUUGUUAGGUGCUGCCCCCCCGGCCGUAAAACCCCCAAUUUUUUCUGGUUGACCUCGGAUCAGGUAGGAAUACCCGCUGAACUUAAGCAUAUCAAUAAGCGGAGGA